GAUGAACGCUGGCGGCGUGCCUAAUACAUGCAAGUCGAGCGAACGGACGAGAAGCUUGCUUCUCUGAUGUUAGCGGCGGACGGGUGAGUAACACGUGGAUAACCUACCUAUAAGACUGGGAUAACUUCGGGAAACCGGAGCUAAUACCGGAUGAUAUUUUGAACCGCAUGGUUCAAAAGUGAAAGACGGUCUUGCUGUCACUUAUAGAUGGAUCCGCGCUGCAUUAGUUAGUUGGUAAGGUAACGGCUUACCAAGGCAACGAUGCAUAGCCGACCUGAGAGGGUGAUCGGCCACACGGGAACUGGGACCCGGUCCGGACUCCUACGGAGGCAGCAGUAGGGAAUCUUCCGCAAUGGGCGAAAGCCUGACGGAGCAACGCCGCGUGAGUGAUGAAGGUCUUCGGAUCGUAAAACUCUGUUAUUAGGGAAGAACAUAUGUGUAAGUAACUGUGCACAUCUUGACGGUACCUAAUCAGAAAGCCACGGCUAACUACGUG
rnacentral:rRNA from 1 species